GAUGAACGCUGGCGGCGUGCCUAAUACAUGCAAGUCGAGCGAACGGACGAGAAGCUUGCUUCUCUUAUGUUAGCGGCGGACGGGUGAGUAACACGUGGAUAACCUACCUAUAAGACUGGGAUAACUUCGGGAAACCGGAGCUAAUACCGGCUAAUAUUUUGAACCGCAUGGUUCAAAAGUGAAAAACGGUCUUGCUGUCACUUAUAGAUGGAUCCGCGCUGCAUUAGCUAGUUGGUAAGGUAACGGCUUACCAAGGCAACGAUGCAUAGCCGACCUGAGAGGGUGAUCGGCCACACUGGAACUGAGACACGGUCCAGACUCCUACGGGAGGCAGCAGUAGGGAAUCUUCCGCAAUGGGCGAAAGCCUGAUGGAGCAACGCCGCGUGAGUGAUGAAGGUCUUAGGAUCGUAAAGCUCUGUUAUUAGGGAAGAACAUAUGUGUAAGAAACAGUGCACAUCUUGACGGUACCUAAUCAGAAAGCCACGGCUAACUACGUG
rnacentral:rRNA from 1 species